AAAUUCAUACACAUUCUGAUUUGUUACAUCAAUAAACAAAUCAGAAUGAAACCAACACAAUAAGACAAUAUCAAAGAACAUCCAUUCAUUACAAAGAAGCACUAUCAGUAGAAGAUUAACAAUACAUUAAUUUUUAGUCACGAUGUACCAGACUUGUUUUCCACUGCAUGAGUAAACAAAACCUUUAUUUUUUUCUGAAGUUAAUCAUGCACCUUAUCAGGACUGUUCCAAAUAUUUUCCACCUCACUGAAGAUUAUGUGCAUUGCUAAUGCUAAG
rnacentral:lncRNA from 1 species